AUUGAACGCUGGCGGCAGGCCUAACACAUGCAAGUCGAGCGGAUGAAGGGAGCUUGCUCCUGGAUUCAGCGGCGGACGGGUGAGUAAUGCCUAGGAAUCUGCCUGGUAGUGGGGGAUAACGUCCGGAAACGGGCGCUAAUACCGCAUACGUCCUGAGGGAGAAAGUGGGGGAUCUUCGGACCUCACGCUAUCAGAUGAGCCUAGGUCGGAUUAGCUAGUUGGUGGGGUAAAGGCCUACCAAGGCGACGAUCCGUAACUGGUCUGAGAGGAUGAUCAGUCACACUGGAACUGAGACACGGUCCAGACUCCUACGGGAGGCAGCAGUGGGGAAUAUUGGACAAUGGGCGAAAGCCUGAUCCAGCCAUGCCGCGUGUGUGAAGAAGGUCUUCGGAUUUUAAAGCACUUUAAGUUGGGAGGAAGGGCAGUAAGUUAAUACCUUGCUGUUUUGACGUUACCAACAGAAUAAGCACCGGCUAACUCCGUG
rnacentral:rRNA from 1 species